rnacentral:lncRNA from 1 species
UAAUCCUUCAGUAGCAUGCACUUAAUUGUUCAGCAAAUGACACAACAUGUGAAGAAAUAAUACCAACAAUGUGAUUUAUAUCUCUCCAGGCAAAACCACUGAGGACUGGAUCAUCUGCCUUUGCUUAUUAUACUGCAACAGGAACAGCCUGAUCUGAAAACAGUGGCCAGGUAGGACACACUGAGAAUAUGUACCCUGGAAACAAAAGGUAUGUGGGCUAUAUGAGUCAAGCACAAGUCUGAAUGGCUCUUACAACUAAACACAUGUGUGGUGCUCAGGCUUUGAGGCUCUGAGCUGGUGUGUGCAGAGCAGAACAAGCACAGUGGGGCAAAGCCCAGCCUGGCUGCUGGACGCUCACUGGAGGGAGCUGGGGGAUGUAACCAAAGAAAUAUGCCUGAUUCCCAUGGGAUAGAGAUACACUGAGCCAGCAGGACUUCCAGGGGGCAGAGUGGAGGGAAGGGUGGGGAGGGAGAAGGGAUUUUUAUAGCUGGUGGGGUUUCCCACUCUGAGUGCACCUGGAGUAGCAAAGCCACUUUGCCAGCUCAGGCAUCAGCUCACCAGUUUCUAGACAGUGGCUAGAAGUGGUGGAGAGCAGAGCCUACUGAUAAGAUAGCUCUGCCACAGCAGAAGGAUUGCCUCCAGUCCAACCCCAAGUUUUGGCAUGCCAGGCUUCAAGUCUUCCAAAUGCAGCAUGUUUUAAAGAUCAAGUAAAAAACCUGGCAUAUGUAGAUUGUGUGGCUCAUUAUUAUUUACAGCUCCUUGAGUCUUGCUCUGUACUUUGGAGGACAAAGGGCACAGAUCUUCUGGUGCAACCAGCUAUGAAGAGAAGAAGCUGUUCAGCCCAUUUGUUCUCCUUCAGCCUACAGAAAUAUCUGAAGAGCAGAAACCUGGUGUCCACCGUGUUCUGCUCUUGCUCUUCUUGUGGCUCCUGUGUGGCUGUGACUCCUGGGAAAUCUGUGCCUCCUGGCAAAUCAGAGUGAGAAAGUUGCUGGCUAGGCUCUCACCUUCUCUUGCCUUAGCUGCUGGAGAAAGCACCUGUCAAGAGACUUCACCUUUUCCCAGGCUGGGGUCAGUCACUGAAGGGAUGAGGUGUGAAGCUCUGCUAUCUUCUGCACUCUCCUGCCCAGCAUACACCCAUGGAAGGUGCUUCACUCCCUUCAGCCAAUAGCAGCCAUCUAACUACCAGCUUUUCUGCAUAUUGGAAGGCUUAAUUUUUGCUCUUUUAUGUGCAAAAAUAAGCUGAAAUGGUAGUACUGGGAUGACAUCCUAGUGUUAAAAUGGGAUGACAUUGAAAAGACAUAAAAUAAACAAGUCAGAUGACUUCCCUGGGCCUUUAUCAAUAAAAAUGAUGAAGCAGCAUAUGAGGUAACAGCCAAGUUCUUGCUUAGAAGUACAACUUUGAUAAAGUUUGGGCACCUAUUUCUUCUGAGUAUUUCUGGAGUUGGAAAUGGAAGUCAUCAUGAAAGUGUUGACAGCAAUUUGAAGGUGUAAAGGAAUACUGCAUCUUUACCAUGAUUUCUAUGUUUUUGAAUUGGAUGAGCUGAGUCUUUCACACUCUUAACUGUUCCUAAAAUACAAUGUCUGAGGUAUUUGUCUCUAAGAAAGCUGAGUUUUUAUUGCUUAAGAAAAAUUUUUGAACUACUGCUGAAGGUGUUUGGAACUUCUCUUUGGCACCUUGUUAUUAUAGGCACAUAAAAAUGUAGACGAGUGGGACUAGGUAGCAGAUGAUGAAAUUUAAAUCAAUUAAAUGCUGUUUGUCAAAGCCUUGUUUUUUCCCUUGUGUAAGGAAUUCUACAUGAAAAGGUAGGAAGGGAAAAAUAAAGGUAGAGCUUGAGGUAAUUUCGGGUGUCUUGCUCAUGAAUUGUCCAGUUCAAUGGAAAAAAAAGUCUUACAGCUGCUAGGAAUCUGACCUGGUGCCCAGAAAUGUGUAAAAGCACAG